rnacentral:lncRNA from 13 species
GGAAGGAACAAAGGCGGGGGGGCCAUCAGGAAGCCCGUAGAGUGAGUGGGUCUGGGGCUCACAUUUGGUCAAAAUGAGCUGACAGUGGUCUGCGUGAGGAGGAGUGGAGCAGCUACAGGUGGGGCAGUUCCAGUGGGUGGCCCUGGAGAGCAUGAGAGAGCCCUUGGGUGAAGGCUGUCACCACGAGGGAGGACAAGGUCGGGGCUGGAGGGUCAGGCUGUUGGAUGCUGACUUGCCCAGAAGGUGGGACCUGGGUGGAGAGGAGUGUGAUGUGGACACAGGACGCAGGGCAGCCACCGUGACUAGGAUUUGAAUGAGGGGCCUCCAGCUGGCUGUGUGAAGAGAGGUCUGGGGGCAGCCCUGCCAGUGGGGACCCCAAUGUGGCCCCUACCCUGAGGUUUGUGACCCAGGGCAAUAAGCGCCUCCAGGUAGAAGGCAGCAGGUGAAGGGCUGGUGUCACUGAGCAUGGUCAGGGCAGAGGUAGAGGCCCUGAGGGCCUUCCAUCUAGUAGAGGGCAAGACGAGGCUUUGGGGGCGGGAGGCCAGGUGUGGACCAGGAGGCACACACACACAGGACAGCACAGGGACAUGGGGAAGCUGGGUGGGGGUGGAGGGUGAGGCCCACAGGGACUCAGGCUUGGAGGGCUUACAGAGGACAUUGCAAACAGUCCAUCUGAGCUUCAGCAGGUCGCUUGAGAUGCUGCUCUUCAGAGGGUUGGUGACCAGCGUCAUCUCUGCUGACCUCUGACAGUUUCAAAUGUCUGGGGUUGAUGAAAUGUGUGACUGAUAAAGCGUUUCUAAUUUAAUCUGAUUUCUUUUUAUUUAGGUCAGGGAGUGGUAAAACCGUCUCAAAUGUGAUUACAGAGUCACACAACUCUGACAACGAAGAGGAUGAUCAGUUUGUGGUGGAAGCUGCCCCUCAGCUCUCUGAAAUGUCAGAAAUUGAAAUGGUAGCAGCAGUCGACCUAGAAGAGGAGAAGCAUGGUGAGUCCUGGUGCAACUGUGCACGCGUGUCCGCACCCAUGCACCUUCUCCCCGUGUGCUUGGAAAGGAUCCAGUGCAAGGGACUGUUGUGUGCCAGGUUCUGGUCUGGGUCACAGUGGCGGGGUCACACCGGCGGGGUCACAGUGGCAGUACAUAGGACCCCAUCCUUAGAGGAGCGGGAGGGCACUGCCGGACGCUGCAAACUCCCUGGGAAGUGUCCUGCAGAUGACGUCUUGUCUCAUCUGUAUGAUUAGAUUGUGGAAGUAGAUGAUCUCCGAGGCCCUUCCCAAGUCGAAUUCUGGAUGUUAUUGUUGGUUUUCUAGCUGUUCAACUCAGUAGUGCAAACCCUGCUCCCUGCACCAGGGUUUGAGUAUCCAGGAAGAGGAUACUCCUCUGUGGAAGAGGCAGGCAGAAUACUUUCCCUUUAUUUCCCACAAUAUGACUUUGUUUCCUGGCACCCAUCACAGGUGACUAAUGAGGGAUUAUUGGUUUUGGGGUUUUUUUGGUAUCUGUAUGAAUCUUUUUAUUUUUUUGAGGCGAAGUCUCACUCUUGCCUAGGUUGGAGUGCCAUGGUGUGAUCUUGGCUCACUGCAAUCUCUGCCUCCCAGGUUCAAGCGAUUCUCAUGCCUCAGCCUCACAGGUAGCUGGGACUACAGAUGCCUGCCACCAUGGCUGGGCAGUUUUUGUAUUUUUAGUAGAGGCAGGGUUUCGCCACAUUGGCCAGGGUGGUCUCAAACUCCUAACCUCAAGUGAUCUACCUGGCUUGGCCUCCCAAAUGCUGAGAAUACAGGCGUGGGCCACUGUGCCCGGCCUAGUCACAGAUUUUUAACAUCGUGGAUGUGUUUCAUUUCAGCCCCUCUCAGUUUUUCUUAGUAAUGUUCAGAUUGCCCAGUAUUUGACCAGAGGAGCCUGUUGGAGCUAUUUUCUGGGGACCUUUAGACACAUCCCACUACGGUUUGUGGCUUCCUUGUUUUCUCAUACGACAAGGUGCCUCUGCCCCAUGACCGCCUCAUUUCUCCGAGGAAACUGGCCGCUUACUGCUCUGGGUGGGUUCUUGUUUCCAGGCAUUUUCACUGCAUAAAGCAGGAAUAUAGUUUUUUAAAAUAAGAAAGUAUAUUCUGACUUGGUGCCGAUAUUUCCAAUUCCAAUUUAGGAUUGUAGGGCUCUGCCUGCGUUCUGUGAUUUUAUAUGUGCAUUUCUUCCAUGUCUUGCCAAAAAGCUUGGCUCCCAGCAACGGCAGCUGUCCCCAUGCUUUACGAUCCUUCACAUGCUCACACAGCAGUUUUAGAACACCACCACUGUUCUUUAACAACGAUAGGAUUGCUGGAAACUAUAGAUUUUUUUUUUUUUUUGGUCGAUGUGUCUGUCUCUUUGUUGGGUAUGUCCUAUUAGGGUUGUACAGUUAAUUACUCUGUUUUAAAGUUAUGAAACGUUUCUCUAGUGGCUCAUGCUUGCCAAUUGGUAUCACUAAGUUUAUUUCAUUUUGCAUUCAAUCUUUAGGCAUGAGUCUUUACCUUUUUAAUGUAAGAUAACUCACAUGGUUUUAAGGUCAGCGGUACAAAACAAGGUAUAAUCAGAAAAGUGGGGCUUUGACCCCUGUCUCCUCCACCCUCUACUCUCCCUCUCCCUGGAGGUAACAGUGAAAAGUAGGGCUUAUACUUACAUUUGAAAAAUAAAUAAAUAAGUGCAUAUGCA